UACGAAGGGGGCUAGCGUUACUCGGAAUUACUGGGCGUAAAGCGUGCGUAGGCGGUUUUGUAAGUUGAUAGUUAAAUUCUCAGGCUCAACCUGAGGUCUGCUAUCAAAACUGCAAGGCUUGAGUACCAGAAAAGAUAGCGGAAUUCCUAGUGUAGAGGUGAAAUUCGUAGAUAUUAGGAGGAACACCAGAAGCGAAAGCGGCUAUCUAGCUGGACACUGACGCUGUUGCACGAAAGCGUGGGGAGCAAACAGGAUUAGAUACCCUGGUAGUCCACGCAGUAAACGAUGAGUGCUAGGUGUCGGAACUUCAAGUUUCGGUGUCGUAGCUAACGCGUUAAGCACUCCGCCUGGGGAGUACGGUCGCAAGAUUA
rnacentral:rRNA from 1 species